AGAGUUUGAUCCUGGCUCAGGAUGAACGCUAGCUACAGGCUUAACACAUGCAAGUCGAGGGGCAGCAUGGUCUUAGCUUGCUAAGACUGAUGGCGACCGGCGCACGGGUGAGUAACACGUAUCCAACCUGCCGUCUACUCUUGGACAGCCUUCUGAAAGGAAGAUUAAUACAAGAUGGCAUCAUGAGUCCGCAUGUUCACAUGAUUAAAGGUAUUCCGGUAGACGAUGGGGAUGCGUUCCAUUAGAUAGUAGGCGGGGUAACGGCCCACCUAGUCUUCGAUGGAUAGGGGUUCUGAGAGGAAGGUCCCCCACAUUGGAACUGAGACACGGUCCAAACUCCUACGGGAGGCAGCAGUGAGGAAUAUUGGUCAAUGGGCGAGAGCCUGAACCAGCCAAGUAGCGUGAAGGAUGACUGCCCUAUGGGUUGUAAACUUCUUUUAUAAAGGAAUAAAGUCGGGUAUGCAUACCCGUUUGCAUGUACUUUAUGAAUAAGGAUCGGCUAACUCCGUGCCAGCAGCCGCGGUAAUACGGAGGAUCCGAGCGUUAUCCGGAUUUAUUGGGUUUAAAGGGAGCGUAGAUGGAUGUUUAAGUCAGUUGUGAAAGUUUGCGGCUCAACCGUAAAAUUGCAGUUGAUACUGGAUAUCUUGAGUGCAGUUGAGGCAGGCGGAAUUCGUGGUGUAGCGGUGAAAUGCUUAGAUAUCACGAAGAACUCCGAUUGCGAAGGCAGCCUGCUAAGCUGCAACUGACAUUGAGGCUCGAAAGUGUGGGUAUCAAACAGGAUUAGAUACCCUGGUAGUCCACACGGUAAACGAUGAAUACUCGCUGUUUGCGAUAUACAGCAAGCGGCCAAGCGAAAGCGUUAAGUAUUCCACCUGGGGAGUACGCCGGCAACGGUGAAACUCAAAGGAAUUGACGGGGGCCCGCACAAGCGGAGGAACAUGUGGUUUAAUUCGAUGAUACGCGAGGAACCUUACCCGGGCUUAAAUUGCAGAUGAAUUACGGUGAAAGCCGUAAGCCGCAAGGCAUCUGUGAAGGUGCUGCAUGGUUGUCGUCAGCUCGUGCCGUGAGGUGUCGGCUUAAGUGCCAUAACGAGCGCAACCCUUGUUGUCAGUUACUAACAGGUUCCGCUGAGGACUCUGACAAGACUGCCAUCGUAAGAUGUGAGGAAGGUGGGGAUGACGUCAAAUCAGCACGGCCCUUACGUCCGGGGCUACACACGUGUUACAAUGGGGGGUACAGAGGGCCGCUACCACGCGAGUGGAUGCCAAUCCCAAAAACCUCUCUCAGUUCGGACUGGAGUCUGCAACCCGACUCCACGAAGCUGGAUUCGCUAGUAAUCGCGCAUCAGCCACGGCGCGGUGAAUACGUUCCCGGGCCUUGUACACACCGCCCGUCAAGCCAUGGGAGCCGGGGGUACCUGAAGUGCGUAACCGCGAGGAGCGCCCUAGGGUAAAACUGGUGACUGGGGCUAAGUCGUAACAAGGUAGCCGUACCGGAAGGUGCGGCUG
rnacentral:rRNA from 2 species